UUCCUGGCCAAUAGGAAGCCAAGCAUUGGACCCGUGGCGCCAAAUCCUGUCCUCCCCGCUUUCAGAAGCUAGAUUCCACCAACAGGACGAACAAGAGGGAAACAAAGGCAAGAGGAAGAAGGGACUUGCUCCAUUCUAAUCAGCCUUAUUGCACCCCUCAGAGAUCACAGCAGCAGUCAGUGCUCUCCUCAGAGAUCUGAAUUCUACUUUCAUGCGGCCCCUCCCCUGAGCUCCUGAGAUAGCCAAUGUUUGAGCCACCUCCUCAGAAGUUUGAGCCUCAACACCGUGGGAUCCCUUCUUUGUGCUCCAGAGAUCCAGUAACAGCCAGCCAUCACCCUCUCUUCAUUCUUCAUAGGCCUGAACUAAGGUGUUCAGGGCCCUCCUUCAAGCUUUUAGGUUCUGAUGACUCCAACCACUUCUUUUGUUCCAUCCUUUCCUAGCUCUAGGAAUGGUAGCUGCUACCUGCAGUGAUUACCUGUUACCUUUUAUAAUUCCUUUUGACCAAUUUCCCAUAUUAAAAUAUUUCUCAAUAACUAAUGUGAUUUCUGUUUUCCUGACUGGACCCUGAUUUUAAAAUGCACACAAAAGCCAGGUGCAGUGGCUUAUGCCUGUAAUCCCACCACUGUGGGAGGCCGAGGCAGGUGGAUCACCUGAAGUCAGGAGUUCGAGACCAGCCUGGCCAACAUGGCAAAAACCCAUCGCUACUAAAAAUACGAAAAUUAGCUGGGCAGUGGUGGCAGGUGCCUGCAAUCCCAGCUACUUGGAAGGCUGAGGCACGAGAAUCUCUUGAACCCGGGAGGCGAAGGUUGCAGUAAGCCAAGAUCAUGCCACUG
rnacentral:lncRNA from 1 species